UUUGAUUUUUGCUUGUUUUGAAAAAAAUGGCAAAUAUCCCGUUUCCUCAAUUUGAGAAUGAGCCGUUUUGGGUGUACUUUAAUAAGCUAGAGAACUUCAUUAGUUACAAUGGUUGUGAUCUUUGGGAGGUUGUGAGAUUUGUUAUCAUGGUUUGAAUGAGCAAACUAGAGACAUUAUUGAAAGCAUGUUUAAUGGUAGAUUUCGAGCAUUGUCAAUCAAUGAUGCUUGGAACUUUUAUGUAUGGUUUGUUAGAGAUACCUAUGAUCAUGGUCAUAGUUAUUCAAAUUUUUCUAUUGAUAAUUGUGAUGUUCCAUGUUCCAUGUAUGAUGAAUCUUGCAUGCCUAAUUGUGCCCCCAUUCCCGAUUUUGAUGAUGCCACUCAUAUCUCUAAUGUUGAUCCCCACAUGCUUGCACAUGAUUCAUUUCCCCAUGAUACACUACUACAAAACUUGGAAAAAUGACCCCCAAUUAAAGAUUCGUUAUUUAACUAACGGAUCUGUUUGCUGUAAGAGAUCUUAUAUUAGUUAUACCGGGUCUUGAACCCUUUCUCCCCAAAUUGCAGUGCCCCUACUCUUAUUAUUCGGUACUAUUUUUUAUACUAAUAUAUUUCCCUUUAAACUCAUUCACAUGUUCUCUCACUUAAAAACCUCCGCCCUAACCAAGCCUAACCUCAAAGUAAAUCCUUCAUCCUCCUGAUGAAUCCGCCGUCACUUUCUCAUAGAAAAUUAAAGUUUGUCAAUUUAAAUUUAUUUCUCAAAGAAUUCUUUGAGUUUUGUUAUGAAUUUCGUUCUUAAUUUCUGAAUUUUUUCUCAUCUACUAACUCUAAUUUCAUUUGCUUUUUUCUUCCGGUUAUCACUCUCUGAAUUUUACUCUAUACAUUCUAUCAUCUUAUCACAAGAUUAUUUUCAUUAUUAAUUUUUUUUCUUCAACGCGCCACCCGACGCCACCAAGUCCUACUCCCUCAAUGAGAUCGUUUCCCGCUCUCGCUCCGGCGGAUUGUUAGACGUUAUUGGAAAUCCACUUUUCGAUUCGCGAGUUGGGAAGAAGAAUUGGCCUUAUGGGUCUGGUGUUUGGUCGAAGGAAAAAUGGGUUCUUCAUGAGAUUGGUGAGAAUGACAUCCCUCGGCUUUCGAAGAUUUGCGUGAUUUCGUCACAAGAAAUGCUCAAUCAAAAGGAGAUGGAAAAUGUAGUAUUCAAGUCUUUAUUAAUGUAAUUAUAAAUUUAUAAUUGUAAAUUUCAGUAAAUUCAUUUUUUUUGUUGCA